rnacentral:lncRNA from 12 species
GCUGUUCUUGGCUAGAGAGACCUUCCACCAGCAAGUCCAGGUUUGUGGAGUCUGGCAUACUUACCUCCCUGAAUGACGAGGCUUCCUGAGGAAGAAGGAACUGCAUUUGGACUCCACAGAUUGCAGGAGAUAUUAAUCUGAAUCUCAUGAAAUCCACUAUUUCUCAUUCAAUGGAACAUGCGAUCUCAACUAACUUCCCCCUGUUUGGCCACCUUUUGUGGCUGUGGACCAGCAGCAUCUGAAUCACCUGGGAACUUGUUAGAAAUGUAAAUUCUCAGGCUCCACGAAUCCUCAAACUGGGGUCCAGGAAUCUGGACCUCAGCAGCCCUCCAAGUGAUGGCGAUGCAUGUUACAGUAGGAGAAGCUCCUCUGUACUGUAAUCUGAG